rnacentral:rRNA from 1 species
GAUGAACGCUGGCGGCGUGCCUAAUACAUGCAAGUCGAGCGAACAGACGAGGAGCUUGCUCCUCUGACGUUAGCGGCGGACGGGUGAGUAACACGUGGAUAACCUACCUAUAAGACUGGGAUAACUUCGGGAAACCGGAGCUAAUACCGGAUAAUAUAUUGAACCGCAUGGUUCAAUAGUGAAAGACGGUUUUGCUGUCACUUAUAGAUGGAUCCGCGCCGCAUUAGCUAGUUGGUAAGGUAACGGCUUACCAAGGCAACGAUGCGUAGCCGACCUGAGAGGGUGAUCGGCCACCCUGGAACUGAGACCCGGUCCAGACUCCUACGGGAGGCAGCAGUAGGGAAUCUUCCGCAAUGGUCGAAAGCCUGACGGAGCAACGCCGCGUGAGUGAUGAAGGUCUUCGGAUCUUAAAACUCUGUUAUUAGGGAAGAACAAAUGUGUAAGUAACUAUGCACGUCUUGACGGUACCUAAUCAGAAAGCCACGGCUAACUACGUG